CGGACCAGUCCGGCGGAUGUCUGCUUCGAGUUCGCACUGAGUCCACCUCGAGUCCACGCAGACUUCCUCAGACCGAAGUACGCCCGAGUAUGUGGGGGCCUUUAAGGCCUACAGUUAGAUAUCACAAAGAAUGACAGCCUUUUGUUGGCCCAGAUGUGUUUUGCCAAAAGUGCUCCAUGCGUGUGCCAGCACUACAUCAAGCACAUCUGGGCCAGUUAUGGCUCUUAUAAACAGUAUAUCAUUGCCGUACCUCAUGGCUCACAUACAGUUGACAAAUAACCCCUUGAUAUGCCAGCACUGCUAGACUGCUAGAACUUUGUACUGGUACUGUCCCUGGACGACAUGAGCAAGUAGAGCCGUAACAUGUUCUGAGCAUUGUGUGCUUGUAUGGCAGUGCUGAUUGGAGAGGACCAACCUUGCAAAUGUUUUGAAGAGACACACCACAUUUUACCUUCCUGACACAGGACAGGCUUUCAACAAAGCAGUGCCUCUCCACAUUUGACACGUGUCUGUGGUAGGGAUGGUCCUUGAGAAACCCUGCAUGUUUUACUUGUUUCUCUGCUCCAAUACACCUAAUUUGAGUGAUGUGUGAUAAAACAGGCUUGUUGGAGCAGAGAAAAGUGACCGUGCAGUGGCCCUCCAAGACCAGGAUUGCCCUCCCCAAUCUAUGGAGUCAGGUUUUUCCAUUCACCUGCCCUGAUCUUUCUCCCAAUUAAAUGUGUCUGAAUGGGAAGUGGGAAUUUCCCGCUUACAAGUUGUAAAUUUCAACUGGAAUGACCCUCCAGUGGGAAUUCACUGUUGGAAUGUGGGCGAGUUCAGAAUUCAGGACAGCAGUUACUCAUUACAGCUCAUCAAAACUCUCUUACUUUUACAAUAGAGGGAUUAUCAGGCCAUCCGGGUCUACUGCGCAUGUCCGCUGCAGAAAGAACCUGUCAUCAUGUCUUGUUGCGUUGUCGGCUGCACAAACCGCUUUGAUAAAAACAAUAAAAUGUGCAAUUUUUUACAGAAUUCCAUCAACUCGCAGCCCUUUUAAGGCUAACAGGAGACGUCUCUGGUUGCAAGCCAUCAGAAGAACCGAUUGGUUCGAGCAGAUGACUAAAAAUGCUGCAGCGACCACUUCAUAUCAGGAGUGGCAUCUGACGAAAUUGACAGUCAUAACUUUGUCCCAUCAAUCUUCUCCUACUCAACCCAGUCCAGCAAAGACAAUGAUGGAAAAUUGAAUCGAAGCUACAGCCCCAAAGGCCGUUCACGAUGACCUCAAACAGAAAUACGUCCAACUUCAUACAGAGUGUGACAACCUGCRUGUGGACAUCAACAAGAUAAAAGCUGAGAAUGAAAAAUCAGAGAUGAUGCUCAGGAGUACACAGUUCUCCUGUCCUUCUCUGAACUGUAAAGCAGCACAGGUGGUCUUCUUCACAGGUCUGACCAGUGUCCCCUUUGAUUGGGUCCUGCAGACAGUUAAAUAAAGUGUAGAGGUUGUGCGUAGCUCUCUGACACUGGAGGACCACCAAUAAACUGUAAAUACCUUGAUGAAAGUCAAAACCUUUUUAUUUGUUGUUUAUACAGAAGUGAUGACAUUAAAAAGCAACAAUUAACAAAA